UUCGCAAGAACCUCAUGCUCCUGGAGCGGCCGAUAUCUGAUUAGCUAGUUGGUAGGGUAAAAGCCUACCAAGGCAUCGAUCAGUAGCUGGUCUGAGAGGACGACCAGCCACACUGGAACUGAGACACGGUCCAGACUCCUACGGGAGGCAGCAGUGGGGAAUUUUGGACAAUGGGCGCAAGCCUGAUCCAGCAAUGCCGCGUGAGUGAAGAAGGCCUUCGGGUUGUAAAGCUCUUUUGUCAGGGAAGAAACGGUGAAGGCUAAUAUCCUUUGCUAAUGACGGUACCUGAAGAAUAAGCACCGGCUAACUACGUGCCAGCAGCCGCGGUAAUACGUAGGGUGCAAGCGUUAAUCGGAAUUACUGGGCGUAAAGCGUGCGCAGGCGGUUUUGUAAGUUUGUCGUGAAAGCCCCGGGCUCAACCUGGGAAUUGCGAUGAAGACUGCAAGGCUUGAAUCUGGCAGAGGGGGGUAGAAUUCCACGUGUAGCAGUGAAAUGCGUAG
rnacentral:rRNA from 1 species